UAACGCGAAGAACCUUACCUGGUCUUGACAUCCACGGAAGUUUUCAGAGAUGAGAAUGUGCCUUCGGGAACCGUGAGACAGGUGCUGCAUGGCUGUCGUCAGCUCGUGUUGUGAAAUGUUGGGUUAAGUCCCGCAACGAGCGCAACCCUUAUCCUUUGUUGCCAGCGGUGUGUACAAGGCCCGGGAACUCAAAGGAGACUGCCAGUGAUAAACUGGAGGAAGGUGGGGAUGACGUCAAGUCAUCAUGGCCCUUACGACCAGGGCUACACACGUGCUACAAUGGCGCAUACAAAGAGAAGCGACCUCGCGAGAGCAAGCGGACCUCAUAAAGUGCGUCGUAGUCCGGAUUGGAGUCUGCAACUCGACUCCAUGAAGUCGGAAUCGCUAGUAAUCGUGGAUCAGAAUGCCACGGUGAAUA
rnacentral:rRNA from 1 species